AACAGCAAGGGAUUUGCAAAAGCAGUUGCACAUAGGGCACUCUAUGGUUCAAGCAGCCGCCGUGCUCUUCCAUCACGUGCUAUGAAGAGUUCCAUUUUUCAAAAUCUUUCAGAGCCCAAAAUUCUUAGCUGAUUAAGCACGGGAGAGGCCUCAACAACUUGUGGUGCAAAUUUAGGUACCUAGUCAUUGACAUGAAAAAUCUGCAGAAAACAUGCAUAAUCAGCAAUCACAGAAAAACCUUACAGGUCUUUGAGUCUGCCAAUCAUUCUUAAAGCAUACACCUACUCUUGGGGUUGAUCGUUCCUUCCUUCUCCAAAGAAAAUUAUAAGUAGGAAGCCUCUAAAUUCCUCGUUUAAUCCCACAGAGGAACAGAAAUAAACAGCCUUCAUUUUCUCUUAUCAAUCUCAGCAACAAUUCUCAAACAAUAAUAAUAGUAAUAAUAAUCUCAGCAUGGUUGCAACAAACAAUCAAUGCUUGGCCCUCUCAAAUCCAAUCCGCGACCUUAUUCGAACUACUUGUCAGUAUUGGACGCUGUUUCUUCAAAUUAAGGUAUCACUUGGGCUUUCUGGACAGACGGUGGCGAUUGGAGGAUUUUAAAAAUGGUUUUGGUUCUUAGCAAAAGAGAAACAGAAAUCACCAUCGUCACUCAAACAGGUUAUCAGAAUCAGUAUGUGAUGAACGACAGUAUUUUUAUGUGCCGUUUUACCAUUUGUUCGCAGCACAAUCGGCUCCUUUCCUCGAGCUAAGGAUAAUGAACAAAAG
rnacentral:misc_RNA from 1 species